CAAAGGAGCUUGCUUCUCUUGAGAGCGGCGGACGGGUGAGUAAAGCCUAGGAAUCUGCCUGGUAGUGGGGGAUAACGUUCGGAAACGGACGCUAAUACCGCAUACGUCCUACGGGAGAAAGCAGGGGACCUUCGGGCCUUGCGCUAUCAGAUGAGCCUAGGUCGGAUUAGCUAGUUGGUGAGGUAAUGGCUCACCAAGGCGACGAUCCGUAACUGGUCUGAGAGGAUGAUCAGUCACACUGGAACUGAGACACGGUCCAGACUCCUACGGGAGGCAGCAGUGGGGAAUAUUGGACAAUGGGCGAAAGCCUGAUCCAGCCAUGCCGCGUGUGUGAAGAAGGUCUUCGGAUUGUAAAGCACUUUAAGUUGGGAGGAAGGGCAUUAACCUAAUACGUUAGUGUUUUGACGUUACCGACAGAAUAAGCA
rnacentral:rRNA from 1 species